AUGGCCAUAUCACAUUAAAACACAGGUUCCAGUAUGAUCACCAAAGUUAAGCACUGUCAAGGCUGGUCAGUACCCAGAUGGGUGAUCACUCAGGAAUACCAUAUGCUGUAAG